AUUAAUUUUGGGAAGUGGGGGCGCAAAACCUUUUUUUUAAAAAAACAGGUUUAAACCUAUAAAUAGGGGGACAAAAAAACUGAACAAGGCUGUUAAAGAAAUAUUGCUAAUACAAGACUUCUACCGUUAUGGGGAGCAACAACAUGAACAAGAUGGAAGUCAAAACCACCCAAUAGGUUUUCCUGAAAUUACAGAAGAAGACUUAUCAAGCGUUAUUCCUCAAGAAGAAAUGUUGAAGGGGAGCGCGCUUAAAGGGGCCAAGAAAUUUCCCUCUGAGGCAGCUGCAGUUGGAAGCAAGGGUAUUAAGCACACCGAUUUUGAACAGCCCUGCACGUCCAAAUCCCUUAUUGCACAAAGCCAGCAACCUUUAAA